rnacentral:rRNA from 1 species
AGAGUUUGAUCAUGGCUCAGGAUGAACGCUAGCGGCAGGCUUAACACAUGCAAGUCGAGGGGUAACAGGGAUUGCUUGCAAUCCGCUGACGACCGGCGCACGGGUGCGUAACGCGCAUGCAACCUACCUUCUACAGGGGGAUAGUCAAUAGAAAUGUUGAAUAAUACCCCAUACGAUCAUUAAUCUGCAUGGAUUGAUGAAGAAAGUUCCGGCGGUAGAAGAUGGGCAUGCGUCCUAUUAGUUAGUUGGUAAGGUAACGGCUUACCAAGACAUCGAUAGGUAGGGGUCCUGAGAGGGAGAUCCCCCACACUGGUACUGAGACACGGACCAGACUCCUACGGGAGGCGGCAGUGAGGAAUAUUGGACAAUGGAGGCAACUCUGAUCCAGCCAUGCCGCGUGCAGGAAGACUGCCCUAUGGGUUGUAAACUGCUUUUAUACAGGAAGAAUAGUACCUACGUGUAGGUAUUUGACGGUACUGUACGAAUAAGGAUCGGCUAACUCCGUGCCAGCAGCCGCGGUAAU